rnacentral:rRNA from 1 species
GGGGGAAAAAUUAAUAAAAUAUAAAUAAUAAAAAAAUUUUUAAGAAUAUUUUAAUGGGGGUUAAAGUAUAUCUAUAGAAAAAAUUAAAAAAUUUAUAGUGAAAUAGUAUUGUAAAAGAAUUUUGAAAUAAAAAUGGAAAUUUAUUUUUAAGUAAAUUUAAUUUAUUGUAUCUUGUGUAUCAGAGUUUAUUAAUAAUAUUUUUUAGGUAAAAAUUUCUCGAAUUUAAAAGAGUUAAUUAAUUAAUAAAGUUAAUGUAAUAUAAUUAUUUUUAAUAAUUAAUUAGAAAUGAAAUGUUAAUCGUUUUUAAAAAUAUCUAGUUUUUUUAGAAAAAAAUUUAAUUUUAAAUAUUAAAUUUAAAAUUUUUAAUAAAAAAAAUUUUAUUUAUUAAUAUUAAAUAUUUUAAGGGAUAAGCUUUAAAAUAAAUUUUUAUAAUUUAUUUUAAAAUAGUUAAAAUUUUAAGAUUUAAAUUUUCAAAUAAAUUAUAGUUUUUUAUAAAUAAUUUAAUUAAAUUUAAAAUUUUAAAAAAAAAUUUAAAUUUUUAUAAAAAAAUAUAUUUUAAUAGGAUAAAAUUAGAUAUAAUGAUAAAAUUAGUAUAUAAAAAUUAAUUAAAUUAAAAAUUUAUGAAAAAUUAAUUAAAGGAAUUCGGCAAAAAAUAUAUUCACUUGUUUAUCAAAAACAUGUCUUUUUGAUAAUAAUUUAAAGUCUAAUCUGCCCACUGAUAAUUUAUUAAAGGGCUGCAGUAUUUUGACUGUACAAAGGUAGCAUAAUCAUUAGUCUCUUAAUUGGUGACUUGUAUGAAAGAUUGGAUGAAAUAUAAUCUGUCUCUAAUUAAUAUAUAGAAUUUAAUUUUUUAGUUAGAAAGCUAAAAUAGAUUUAAAAGACGAGAAGACCCUAUAGAGUUUUAUAUUUUAUUUAAUUAUUAUUUAUAUGUAAAUUUUAUAUUUAAGAUAAAAUAAAAUAUUUUGUUGGGGUGAUAGAAAAAUUAAAUUAACUUUUUUUAAUGUUAAACAUUGAUAUAUGAGUUUUUGAUCCAUUUAUAGUGAUUAAAAGAAAAAAUUACCUUAGGGAUAACAGCGUAAUUUUUUUUUUUAGUUCAAAUAGGAAAAAAAGUUUGCGACCUCGAUGUUGGAUUAAGAUAAAAUUUAAAUGCAAAAGUUUAAAAUUUUGAUCUGUUCGAUCAUUAAAAUCUUACAUGAUCUGAGUUCAAACCGGUGUAAGCCAGGUUGGUUUCUAUCUUUAAAUAUUAAUAAUAUUUUAGUACGAAAGGAUCAAAUAUUAAAAAUAAUUUUAUUUAUAUGAAUAUUAUUAAUUGUUAUUUU